rnacentral:rRNA from 1 species
ACCCGCUGAACUUAAGCAUAUCAAUCAGCGGAGGAAAAGAAAAUAACAAUGAUUCCCCUAGUAACGGCGAGUGAAGCGGGAAGAGCUCAAAUUUGAAAUCUCCUUCGGGCGAAUUGUAGUUUAAAGAAUCGUUUUCUGGAACAGGCAGGGUAUAAGUCCUUUGGAACAAGGCAUCGUAGAGGGUGACAAUCCCGUUCACGAUCCCGCUAUUGGUCCUUUGUGAUACGAUUUCAAAGAGUCGGGUUGUUUGGGAAUGCAGCCCUAAAUGGGUGGUAAAUACCACCUAAAGCUAAAUAUUGGCGAGAGACCGAUAGCGAACAAGUACCGUGAGGGAAAGAUGAAAAGAACUUUGAAAAGAGAGUAAAAUAGUACGUGAAAUUGUCAAUAGUGAACGGUUUGGAACUAUUGUUUGUAUUUAGAAAAUCAAUUGGUCUUUAUGGCCAGUGCACUUUUCUAUGUACAGGUCAACAUCAGUUUGAUUCGGGAUAAAAAGCUUUAUGAGCCCUCGGGUGACUAAAGUGCUGUCUUGGGUUGGACUGAGGACUGCAGCAUAGUCAUAGGCUUCGGCACUACUAUUGCUUCGGAUGUUGACAAAAUGGUUUCAAGCCACCCGUCUUGAAACACGGACCAAGGAGUCUAACAUAUCUGCGAGUUUUUGGGUGUCAAACCCAUAAGCGUAAUGAAAGUGAAUAAGAUGGG